rnacentral:rRNA from 1 species
GUGGGGAAUAUUGGGCAAUGGGCGCAAGCCUGACCCAGCAACGCCGCGUGAAGGAAGAAGGCUUUCGGGUUGUAAACUUCUUUUACCAGGGACGAAACAAAUGACGGUACCUGGUGAAUAAGCCACGGCUAACUACGUGCCAGCAGCCGCGGUAAUACGUAGGUGGCGAGCGUUAUCCGGAUUUAUUGGGUGUAAAGGGCGUGUAGGCGGGACAGCAAGUCAGAUGUGAAAACCAGAGGCUCAACCUCUGGCCUGCAUUUGAAACUGUUGUUCUUGAGUGUCGGAGAGGUAAUCGGAAUUCCGUGUGUAGCGGUGAAAUGCGUAGAUAUACGGAGGAACACCAGUGGCGAAGGCGGAUUACUGGACGAUGUCUGACGCUGAGGCGCGAAAGCUAGGGGAGCGAACGGGAUUAGAUACCCCUGUAGUCC